AGUGAACGCUGGCGGUGGGCCUAACACAUGCAAGUCGAACGGCAGCACAGUAAGAGCUUGCUCUUACGGGUGGCGAGUGGCGGACGGGUGAGGAAUACAUCGGAAUCUACUUUUUCGUGGGGGAUAACGUAGGGAAACUUACGCUAAUACCGCAUACGACCUACGGGUGAAAGCAGGGGAUCUUCGGACCUUGCGCGAUUGAAUGAGCCGAUGUCGGAUUAGCUAGUUGGCGGGGUAAAGGCCCACCAAGGCGACGAUCCGUAGCUGGUCUGAGAGGAUGAUCAGCCACACUGGAACUGAGACACGGUCCAGACUCCUACGGGAGGCAGCAGUGGGGAAUAUUGGACGAUGGGCGCAAGCCUGAUCCAGCCAUACCGCGUGGGUGAAGAAGGCCUUCGGGUUGUAAAGCCCUUUUGUUGGGAAAGAAAAGCAGCAGGUUAAUACCCCGCUGUUCUGACGGUACCCAAAGAAUAAGCACCGGCUAACUUCGUG
rnacentral:rRNA from 1 species